AACCAGUGAACCCUGGGCCACCUAAGCAGAACGUACGCACUUAACCGCUGUGCCACCAGGCCGGCCCCAAAGCUUCCCUAUUUUUGAAGUACAACUAACCAGGAAGAGGUAACUCUUUAUGUUUUAUCCACCGUGUGUUCCUUAAUGUGAGUGAGUUUAUCCCAUCCUUUCACAAGAAAAGGCUUUAAGUGAUGAGAGAUAUGGGGAUUAUGGAUAGGAAAAAAUAUAGAAGCAGGUGGCCAACAUUGGGACACAGGAGGUGAGGAGAGGUAAGCCGUCAGGCAGGCAUGUCGCCAAGGAGCCCCAGGAUGGUCAGUGACGUCAUAAAGGGACUGACGCAAUAUCUUGUUGCAGUUUCCUACGUGAUCAAAAAGAGAAUCUACAGGAGUCUGGGUCUGCAGGCUUAUCACAGGGACCAGCCACCAACGAAUGGGUGGGCUCCAGUUAGAUAAUCGUGGCCAUGACAGGUCCCUGGUUGCUGGGCUUGAUUCUGUUCCUUGAAGCAAGAGCUUCCAGGGUCCUGGUCUUGUGAGCAGAAAGUUAAGGUUCCUGAAGAUGGGAAUGUGCUUGAGUCACUUGGGGAAUAUUUAAAGGGUCAUAGCUGGUGAACUCCAAAUAACAUCAGAGCCUAAGCAGUGGCGACAUACUUCCUGCAGCUACACAACAUACUAUGUUCUUGGGGUUAAGUUUGCAGACUGUUCUGACAAGUACAGGAGGUGGGAUUAUGGGGUUGCUAGGCAAGGAACCCACGCUGUAAGGAAUAAAGCCCCUGAUCUUACUUACGUGCUGCGGCGAACUCAUGGGACCAAGACCGAAAGGUACAGUGAGCAAGAGAGAGCUGCAGGCUGGCAUGGAGGAACAACGCAGCCUCCUUCCUUGAACACCGUGCCAGGCCGCACGUCACUCACCUGGGACACGCGCGUUUAUAAGAUGUGUCAGCCAUAUACAUAUCCAUUGAAUGUUUCUUAAAGAGACAUGUCAGCAAUAAUAAAAUAAUAACUAGCUAUUUGGUGAGUCCUGGUCAGCAUUGUAAAACAUUGAAUGUAGAUCUCUUUCCUUAGCUCGCAGUGCUAUACAUUAUGAUACAGGUGGGCUCUGAUUUAUGCAACGUAAUUAUUCCCCAGAUGGAAACUGCCGUCUGUUUACAUGCAUGCAGCAGCCUACUGUGUGAGCGUUUCUCAGGGUGCCAGGCCAGGGGGUUCCCAGGCCAAUGACCACUCGAAGCAGAAUCAUCGCGAGUUCUUUUUAAAAAUGCAAUUUUCUGAGUCUCCUCCCAGACCGGAAUCAAGAUUUUUAGGGGUAGGUCCUGGUCAUCUGCAUUUUAACAGGUUCUCUCAGGGUCAUUUUCAGAACACCUCAGAGUCUGAAAAACACUCGCAUAGAAACCAAAGCAACAUUUUAAAAUAACAAGUGUUCUCUAGUUUCUGUUCUGUGAAAAUAUGAGUUUUCACAGGCACCUGCGAUUUGCUCAGUGUGUGCUAGUCUCCUCGGCGGACUGCACUGGUUUGAGAGCUGCCACCCUGAGGGCUGCCCUGCACACUCACCACGGGGCGGCUUCCAGGGAGCUAGCUGGUCAGGUAAAGUCCAGGAACCGUCUCUCGACAGCUUGCUAACUCGGGCCUUCCCUGGGCCUUUGCUUAGAAACGACCCCUGGUGCUGACUUUGGGGACGUGAGUUUUGUUCUGUUGAUUUUAUUCAAGCCUCUUCUCUGGCCUUGGCGGCUCAUGCCCUCGCUGAGAUGAUGUCUGGCAGAGGCCCUCCUGGAGCACAGGGACGUCAGCCCAUUCCCGGGCCAGGAGGACGCAUCUGCUCUAGGUAAGACCGCAGUCAGCACCCUGCCCUCGGCUUCUAAGAGGCCAACGACCCCCUCUCUGUGUCAAGUCCUAUUUGUUUUUAAGCCUUGGCCUCUUUCGUCACUGCCGCCUGUACGCCUUUAAGUCCAUCUUCUUGGCAGAAGCCACCUGGGACUGAGAACCCCUAGGACCCCAGUCUCUGCUGUCUGUCAGCAAAGCCCUGUGAACUAAGCCCCCAGUGCACAUGCAGAUCCGAUCAACUAACCAGGGGAAGGAAUCCACGUCACAGCUGGAGAAUAUGGGCUUUUCUGUAUUCUGAGACAGUUAUUCUAAAAAUAGCCCUGUGGAAGAUCUAGCAGGGAAAAGCAGGAGCAAAAGAGGAAUUUUCAAAAUGACUCUGAGAGCUCUUCAGGGAAAAUGUCAGAUACGGUCUCCUGCCAUCUCCUUCCUCUGACCCCCUGCGGAAGAGGGGCUGGCUCAGCGGACAGGAAGGGAAUUGUAAAUCUGCGCUAAUUUGGGAAGGGAGGGAUGGAGCAGACCCUUGGCAAUCAGCAGAGCGGCAUCUUGCUUUCUGUCAGCGUUUCGGGCUCUGCUGCUGAAUGUGAUCCUGCUGCCCCGGAGCCGAAGCGAGGUCACUGGGGCCUCCGGUGUGAUCCCUGGUGUGCACCACUCCCCACCAUCGGGAGUCAAGUCCCCUGCUUCCAGCUGGAGGAAAGGUUGUCCGUGAAGCUCUACAUCCUCUUGACCCGUUAUUAUUACUUCAUGAUCCCCAAGAAAGAGAGAAGAGUGACCGAUUUCUCUUUCCUUAGCCCAUGUUUGCAGGAUGGGAGGUACAAAGGCCACUUAAGGUCUCGUCCACUCCUGAAAGUGCUGAUAGGGGAGGAAACGGGGAGAUGCCACCACAGCGGGAACACGGACUGGACUGUCCUGCACUGACUAAGCUCCAGGAGGAAGGCCUGGCUCAGCCGCGCCAGGAAAAGGAUGCAGAGUGUGUGUUUCCUCGUCCUGGAAAGGAGAGGGUAGAGAAAACGCUUUGACUGAAAAGCGAGAGCACUAAUUGAUUGCUAAUGACUACGCAGCCCCAAAUGUCUGGAAUUUGGUUUAGAUUCAAUGUAAUUUCACAUUUGCCAACCACUAUUAAAUCCCUUUGAUGUGCUCCCCGUGCAGCGGCCAUGAGCCGCUGAUUGGCUCCGGGGUGGAAAACGAGUCUGGCUGGCACGGCGUCCACGGGGGUCUGGCAGGCGGCCACUGUCACCCGACUACCCUCAGCUCUGCUGGGCUCGCUCGGCCUGGCGCUCCCGACACUGGUCUUCUCUGGCCUCUUUUCUGCUCUGCAGGCUCCUGCUCUUGUUUCUCCUCCUUCUCAAGGUUGUAGUCCCUUUCCAGGACCAGUUCCCCUCCUCCUUUCAAAGCAAAACAGAGCCUUUGCUCUUUCCGGCUUCUCUAACUCGGAAGUCAACAUCUCUUUACAAAGAACAAAAAUUUACUACAAUUCUAUCAAAAUAAAAAGAUUAAGAAAAAGAUGCAGGGAGAGUUCAUGGAAACCCUUUUGUGGGAAAAUAGUCCCUGGGGAACGGGAGAGUGGCUGGGCUUCCCCCCUUGCUGCCCCCUCUCUUUCGUAUUCCAUUUCUGUUUGUUUUUGGCUGUUGCUCUGCCCUUCCUUCCACAAACAAGCUCCUUUGCUCCCUCAGGCGUUGUGUAUGGUCCAGCAUACCUUCCCCCGGGCUGCACCCAAAUCACUCCCUUUGUUCCAGCCUCUACAGGACCUGUCACCGCUGCCCACAGGAACUGACCUGAGUAGUCCCAAGGCCCCCAUUCUAAUUCCCCAGGAGGAAGAAUAUAAUUGGCCAGGCUCAGGUCUAGGCUCUUCCCCGACUGAAUCAGCUGGGGGGCGGGGCAUGGGCAAGGUGCAGAGUGUGCAUCCUUCCAGGGCAGAGAGUGGGCCGUGGGCAAGAGGAGGAGGUGGGCAGCCCGGUGCGCUCCCUCAGGGCACUGUCCAGGAGCCCACCUCUUCCGUUUGGGCCCAGCGUCUCAGAGCGUCCAGCAUAGCCUUGCAAGAAGUUCCGUUGCUCAUGUUCAUAAUUUGUCACAUACGCCAACACUUGCGCUGACCGCUCGCUUCCCCAGAACCAGCUCCUCCUCAUCCACAUCUGUUACUUCUCCUUUCAAAAGAUUUAGGAGGGAAAAAAAAUCAGAAAACCUUUCAAGUCGGUUCCAUGAGAACCAAGAGAAAAGCUGCGGCAAUGGGAGAAAAAACACCUAAUUCCACGACAUUGGGGACAAAUAUGGGCUUCCUUCUUAACUCAAGUGUGAAGCAGCAUGGGGUAUGGGCAGGAAGGACAGCAGACGAGGAGUUAGGACUUGUUUCCUGGCUCUGACUGUGCCUCUGGUGAGCUGUGUGACCUGAGGUCAAUCACUUAGCCUUUCUGGGCCUGACUUUUUUCCUGAAAAAUAGAGAAUAGAUUAGUUGAAUCAUUGAGUCUUUUCUUAUUCUUAAAUUCUGUGAUAAUAUAAUUUCGAGAAAUAUUUGAUACAAAAAUUAUAAAACAGCAAAAGAAUUUGAAUGAUCUAAGAGAAUUGUUCAUCUCCCCAUUCAUUCUUUUUGUCCAUUAAACAGAAAUUUAUUGAGAGUGUUUAACGUGCUGGCUAAUCUCAGUUCUAGACUCUGAAUGUGCAAAGGGCAGCAGAGAGCCGAUCCCCCCACUCACAAAUGCCACAAUUUAGCUUGUAAGGGAAAAUCUCUGUCAUCUAUGUUGCAGUGUUUCUGAGGUAAACUUCCUUUUCGCUUAGUGCUGCCUUCUCCCCUAGAACUCUGCACACACUGAGGCCAUGGGGCUCCCUUCUCUCUGCCUAACUGGGACUGCGGCCUCUGCUCUCUGGGUAAAAACACUCUGAAACCCUAACACUUAACUGCUCUGGGAGGACAUGGACGUGGCUGGACAGAGAAAUCGACCCGCUUUCCCAUCUCCUUCUGUCAGGUGCUUCUAACAGGACUUCCUCUGUAGGCUGGGAAUAAGUUCCAGAAACAUCGGAUGCCUUUAUGUUCAAAGGUAGAUGCAACAGCAUCGUGAAACACAACCAGACACUGAUUAUGAGCCAUCGCCAUGUUGAGUGGCUGACCUCUGCCAACUGCUUGAGGACCGUUUCAGGAAUUACACGAGUUAAGACCCAGGAAUGACGGGCACUGGGCCGGGCACAUCUACGCGCUCAGUGAGUGCUGGCGUCGUGAUCGUUACUCCUCCAAACCCUCGACAUCCCCCGGAGGGCUUCCUGGAUCCCAGUAUAACACAGUCCUGGAGGAAAUGCACAGGCUGCCCACACUCGCCCCAUGUCUUGCAUUGGUGGCCUGUGCGGGGGGAUCAGGGAAGGAAGGACAAAGGAGGGGAGCUCCCUUUGUGCCACACAGCACCUUUCCCUUCCUCUUCUGUGGACCCCCACAUGUCGUGACCCCCACUCCCUGCCCAGCUCAGAUUCUCUUUGACUGUGGAAUCGCCAGAGAGGCUGGGGGCCAGUAUUUCCCAGGUUCGGUCUGGCUCCCUCUCCAGAGACCUCACCCCGAAAAGCCGAUCAGCGUGUUCUCAGAAAACACAAGCCCGGUGGAGAUGGUUGCCAUUUUCUUUACUAAGUGUUAUUUUUUCCGUAUUAGAGAUCUGAUUUCCUGCGAUUCUUGGAGAGUACCGGGAGGAAGAAGUCAGGAAGCGGGCAGAGGGAGCAGUGACCUAGCGCCCGCUCGUGUCCGGCCUCCUCCUUCACGACUGCAGGACGGGGGUCCAGGUUUCCCACAUCGGAGAUGUUUGCGCAGAAAGAACAGUGUCUUUGUGAACGCAUCCUGAGGCUGUGAGCAGAAGCUCCAGCAUUUCCCCCUCGGGUCUGUCCCUCCCCAGCAGCGCGGUUUUCCGGGAGCGUCGGCUCCCUGGGCCUCUCCGUACCAGGAGACAGUACUUGGUUGUUAGAUGAUUUGGAGUUCCUUCAGAAUAAAAUAUCAGGCAAGGCUAA